GAUGAACGCUGGCGGCGUGCCUAAUACAUGCAAGUCGAGCGAACAGACGAGGAGCUUGCUCCUCUGACGUUAGCGGCGGACGGGUGAGUAACACGUGGAUAACCUACCUAUAAGACUGGGAUAACUUCGGGAAACCGGAGCUAAUACCGGAUAAUAUAUUGAACCGCAUGGUUCAAUAGUGAAAGACGGUUUUGCUGUCACUUAUAGAUGGAUCCGCGCCGCAUUAGCUAGUUGGUAAGGUAACGGCUUACCAAGGCAACGAUGCGUAGCCGACCUGAGAGGGUGAUCGGCCACACUGGAACUGAGACACGGUCCAGACUCCUACGGGAGGCAGCAGUAGGGAAUAUUCCGCAAUGGGCGAAAGCCUGACGGAGCAACGCCGCGUGAGUGAUGAAGGUCUUCGGAUCGUAAAACGCUGUUAUUAGGGAAGAACAAAUGUGUAAGUAACGAUGCACGUCUUGACGGUACCUAAUCAGAAAGCCACGGCUAACUACGU
rnacentral:rRNA from 1 species